UACGUAGGCAGCGAGCGUUGUUCGGAGUUACUGGGCGGAAAGCGUGCGUAGGCGGUUUUGUAAGUUUGGUGUGAAAUCUCCCGGCUCAACUGGGAGGGUGCGCCGAAAACUGCAAGGCUGGAGUGUGGGAGAGGUAGGCGGAAUUCCCGGUGUAGCGGUGAAAUGCGUAGAUAUCGGGAGGAACAUCAGUGGCGAAGGCGGCCUUCUGGUCCAGUACUGACACUCAAGUGCGAAAGCGUGGGGAGCAAACAGG
rnacentral:rRNA from 1 species